rnacentral:rRNA from 1 species
UACAGAGGGUGCAAGCGUUAAUCGGAAUUACUGGGCGUAAAGCGUGCGCAGGCGGUUGUGCAAGACAGAUGUGAAAUCCCCGGGCUUAACCUGGGAACUGCAUUUGUGACUGCACGGCUAGAGUUUGGCAGAGGGGGGUAGAAUUCCACGUGUAGCAGUGAAAUGCGUAGAGAUGUGGAGGAAUACCGAUGGCGAAGGCAGCCCCCUGGGUCAAGACUGACGCUCAUGCACGAAAGCGUGGGGAGCAAACAGG